GUGCUUACUUCAGCAGCACAUCUGCUAAAAUUGGAACCAUACAGAGAAGAUUAGCAUGGCCCCUGAAAAAAUUUUUAAAGAAUUUUUUUAAAUAAAAAUAGUUCAUU
ensembl:snRNA U6 U6 spliceosomal RNA